rnacentral:rRNA from 1 species
AUGGCAGAAGUUUCAGCUCUCAAAUUUGGUCUAACACUGGUGCAGAGGGCGGGAUGUAAUCGCCUUAUUAUUUAGUCGGGCAAUCUGGAGGUGAUUGAUACCAUGCAGAACGGAGGACGGUCGGCGGGCACGGCAGCGGUGAUUUUAAAUGAUUGUUUUCAUUAUGCCAGUGAUUUCAUUAGUACUAGAUUUGAACAUUGUAAUAGAGAAGCAAAUAAAGUAGUUCAUGAGCUCGCUAGAUUAGCUAGAUUUUCUGUGACCUCGGAUUGGUUUGAAGAGCCUUCAAAUGAAAUUGUAAUGAUUCUCACAGAUGAUGUACUGGUUAUUUCUAAUGAAUAA